GCCUGGCAUAGUGGUUUGGGUGUUGGACUAUGACUCUAGAGACCAGGGUUCGAUUCUCACUCAGUCA
rnacentral:tRNA from 1 species